ACAGCAGCCGCCGCGGUAAAACGGAGGGUGCAAGCGUUAAUCGGAAUUACUGGGCGUAAAGCGCACGCAGGCGGUUUGUUAAGUCAGAUGUGAAAUCCCCGAGCUUAACUUGGGAACUGCAUUUGAAACUGGCAAGCUAGAGUCUUGUAGAGGGGGGUAGAAUUCCAGGUGUAGCGGUGAAAUGCGUAGAGAUCUGGAGGAAUACCGGUGGCGAAGGCGACCCCCUGGACAAAGACUGACGCUCAGGUGCGAAAGCGUGGGGAGCAAACAGGAUUAGAUACCCGAGUAGUCCCUGUCUCUUAUAC
rnacentral:rRNA from 1 species